AUUGAACGCUGGCGGCAUGCCUUACACAUGCAAGUCGAACGGCAGCACGGGUGCUUGCACCUGGUGGCGAGUGGCGAACGGGUGAGUAAUACAUCGGAACAUGUCCUGUAGUGGGGGAUAGCCCGGCGAAAGCCGGAUUAAUACCGCAUACGAUCUACGGAUGAAAGCGGGGACCUUCGGGCCUCGCGCUAUAGGGUUGGCCGAUGGCUGAUUAGCUAGUUGGUGGGGUAAAGGCCUACCAAGGCGACGAUCAGUAGCUGGUCUGAGAGGACGACCAGCCACACUGGGACUGAGACACGGCCCAGACUCCUACGGGAGGCAGCAGUGGGGAAUUUUGGACAAUGGGCGAAAGCCUGAUCCAGCAAUGCCGCGUGUGUGAAGAAGGCCUUCGGGUUGUAAAGCACUUUUGUCCGGAAAGAAAUCCUUGGCUCUAAUACAGUCGGGGGAUGACGGUACCGGAAGAAUAAGCACCGGCUAACUACGUG
rnacentral:rRNA from 1 species